AACGAACGCUGGCGGCAGGCCUAACACAUGCAAGUCGAGCGAGGACUUCGGUUCUAGCGGCGGACGGGUGAGUAACGCGUGGGAAUGUGCCCUUCUCUACGGAAUAGCCCUGGGAAACUGGGAGUAAUACCGUAUACGCCCUUUUGGGGAAAGAUUUAUCGGAGAAGGAUCAGCCCGCGUUGGAUUAGGUAGUUGGUGGGGUAAUGGCCUACCAAGCCGACGAUCCAUAGCUGGUUUGAGAGGAUGAUCAGCCACACUGGGACUGAGACACGGCCCAGACUCCUACGGGAGGCAGCAGUGGGGAAUCUUAGACAAUGGGGGCAACCCUGAUCUAGCCAUGCCGCGUGAGUGAUGAAGGCCUUAGGGUUGUAAAGCUCUUUCAGCUGGGAAGAUAAUGACGGUGCCAGCAGAAGAAGCCCCGGCUAACUCCGUG
rnacentral:rRNA from 1 species